rnacentral:rRNA from 1 species
CGCUUUGUGGUUCACUGAUUUGAAGAGCUUGCUCAGAUAUGACGAUGGACAUUGCAAAGAGUGGCGAACGGGUGAGUAACACGUGGGAAACCUACCUCUUAGCAGGGGAUAACAUUUGGAAACAGAUGCUAAUACCGUAUAACAAUGACAACCGCAUGGUUGUUAUUUAAAAGAUGGUUCUGCUAUCACUAAGAGAUGGUCCCGCGGUGCAUUAGCUAGUUGGUAAGGUAAUGGCUUACCAAGGCGAUGAUGCAUAGCCGAGUUGAGAGACUGAUCGGCCACAAUGGGACUGAGACACGGCCCAUACUCCUACGGGAGGCAGCAGUAGGGAAUCUUCCACAAUGGGCGAAAGCCUGAUGGAGCAACGCCGCGUGUGUGAUGAAGGGUUUCGACUCGUAAAACACUGUUGUAAGAGAAGAAUGACAUUGAGAGUAACUGUUCAAUGUGUGACGGUAUCUUACCAGAAAGGAACGGCUAAAUACGUGCCAGCAGCCGCGGUAAUACGUAUGUUCCAAGCGUUAUCCGGAUUUAUUGGGCGUAAAGCGAGCGCAGACGGUUAUUUAAGUCUGAAGUGAAAGCCCUCAGCUCAACUGAGGAAUUGCUUUGGAAACUGGAUGACUUGAGUGCAGUAGAGGAAAGUGGAACUCCAUGUGUAGCGGUGAAAUGCGUAGAUAUAUGGAAGAACACCAGUGGCGAAGGCGGCUUUCUGGACUGUAACUGA